GAACUCAUAUAGAAUUUACUUAGCUAUCUCAAUACUUUGUAAGAGCGAGCUCGAUUCAAAUAUCGACCUCGCCUCACGUUUGUAAUCUCCUCUUGUACUUCAAUAUUCUUCUAAUGGAAAUGAAAUUUCCUAACUUUGUCCCUUAAUAACUUAAUCACCUCUUAAUUAUAUAUCCGAACUCACACUUCAACAUUUAGCGCCGUUUGUGAGAAAAAAUCAAGAAUCUCUCAACUCAAAGAAACAUUUAGAAAAGAUAGAAACUACAUAUCCAGAUCCAGAAAUUAAGAUAGCAAAACGCAAAAACUCUAAGGACCAUUUGGGAAACAAUGUUGCGGUCGCUGCCACAGAACAUCCCGUAACCCGGUCACAAACCAGGCGGAGGAAAACUAGACGAUCCAGACAACGACUUUGAGACAAAGAGCGAUAGCAAACCAACCAACCACGCCCUCGCGAUAUCACAUGACAACAAGGGAAAUAUUCCAC
rnacentral:lncRNA from 1 species